AGAUUGAACGCUGGCGGCAGGCCUAACACAUGCAAGUCGAACGGUAACAGGAAGCAGCUUGCUGCUUCGCUGACGAGUGGCGGACGGGUGAGUAAUGUCUGGGAAACUGCCUGAUGGAGGGGGAUAACUACUGGAAACGGUAGCUAAUACCGCAUAACGUCGCAAGACCAAAGAGGGGGACCUUCGGGCCUCUUGCCAUCGGAUGUGCCCAGAUGGGAUUAGCUAGUAGGUGGGGUAACGGCUCACCUAGGCGACGAUCCCUAGCUGGUCUGAGAGGAUGACCAGCCACACUGGAACUGAGACACGGUCCAGACUCCUACGGGAGGCAGCAGUGGGGAAUAUUGCACAAUGGGCGCAAGCCUGAUGCAGCCAUGCCGCGUGUAUGAAGAAGGCCUUCGGGUUGUAAAGUACUUUCAGCGGGGAGGAAGGGAGUAAAGUUAAUACCUUUACUCAUUGACGUUACCCGCAGAAGAAGCACCGGCUAACUCCGUGCCAGCAGCCGCGGUAAUACGGAGGGUGCAAGCGUUAAUCGGAAUUACUGGGCGUAAAGCGCACGCAGGCGGUUUGUUAAGUCAGAUGUGAAAUCCCCGGGCUCAACCUGGGAACUGCAUCUGAUACUGGCAAGCUUGAGUCUCGUAGAGGGGGGUAGAAUUCCAGGUGUAGCGGUGAAAUGCGUAGAGAUCUGGAGGAAUACCGGUGGCGAAGGCGGCCCCCUGGACGAAGACUGACGCUCAGGUGCGAAAGCGUGGGGAGCAAACGGGAUUAGAUACCCUGGUAGUCCACGCCGUAAACGAUGUCGACUUGGAGGUUGUGCCCUUGAGGCGUGGCUUCCGGAGCUAACGCGUUAAGUCGACCGCCUGGGGAGUACGGCCGCAAGGUUAAAACUCAAAUGAAUUGACGGGGGCCCGCACAAGCGGUGGAGCAUGUGGUUUAAUUCGAUGCAACGCGAAGAACCUUACCUGGUCUUGACAUCCACGGAAGUUUUCAGAGAUGAGAAUGUGCCUUCGGGAACCGUGAGACAGGUGCUGCAUGGCUGUCGUCAGCUCGUGUUGUGAAAUGUUGGGUUAAGUCCCGCAACGAGCGCAACCCUUAUCCUUUGUUGCCAGCGGUCCGGCCGGGAACUCAAAGGAGACUGCCAGUGAUAAACUGGAGGAAGGUGGGGAUGACGUCAAGUCAUCAUGGCCCUUACGACCAGGGCUACACACGUGCUACAAUGGCGCAUACAAAGAGAAGCGACCUCGCGAGAGCAAGCGGACCUCAUAAAGUGCGUCGUAGUCCGGAUUGGAGUCUGCAACUCGACUCCAUGAAGUCGGAAUCGCUAGUAAUCGUGGAUCAGAAUGCCACGGUGAAUACGUUCCCGGGCCUUGUACACACCGCCCGUCACACCAUGGGAGUGGGUUGCAAAAGAAGUAAAUAGCUUAACCUUCGGGAGGGCGCUUACCAC
rnacentral:rRNA from 1 species